GGGCUUGAAAUCGCGCCGCUUCAAGCCGAUAUUCACACUGUCCCGCAAGGGACUAUGGGCAUAAACGCGCGCGUAAUAAGCGGAUCGGACCCGGGGGCGGUACCCGGCGGCUCCACCAGAAACCUUCGUUGGAGGAACAUGGGGCCGAAACAGGAUCGACGAACGUGUAAAGGCGUGGCUUUGCCCCGGUGAGGUACCACCGUUAUCGGUCCACAACGCACAAUUGCCAACGACAAUCGUGCUCCGGUCGCUCUCGCCGCGUAAGCGGUGCGAAGACCGAAAUUGAAGUCCUUGUCUCUAGCAAGACAAGGCGGGGUCCGCAGGCACCUGGCAACAGAAGCCUGCAUU
rnacentral:tmRNA from 1 species